CUUUAGUCUACAUAACUGAUUCUGUCGGUAAUCAUUACAGCCUUAUCACUGAUCAUGACUGACACCAGAAGUUUAAAGGCCUGUUUAAUGGCAUCAUCAGUGUUUCUCAGUUCAGGUUGAGAAUCGCUACUCAACAUACUUUAGACUUUUUACCCAAUACAGCUGUGCAGCUAAUAAAAUAUCAAAUUAAAUUUGACCUUUGUGAUGUGUAUGGUCUGUUUAUUUUAGUUAUAGAGUCAUAUUAGCUUGCUAACUUAGUCACGGCUAAUGGACUCAGUAUCCACAGACUCUGUACGUGUUUGUAAUUGUGUUUUUAUGUUUUCUUCCUGCAUUCCACUGCACAAAGAAUCACCCACACAGCCAGCUGCCACAGAUGAUGGAGGAAUGAACUCUUCUCCCACUCUGAUGAUGGUCGUAUCCCUCCUCUUAUUAGCCAGUCAUUUCAGCACAAUAACAUGACAGGCAUACUUUAUGUUGAUUUUUUCCUUCAUUCUUCUUAUUAGGCAAAAUAGUCGGUCAGAUUUUGUGAACAUUUCAGCUCGAGGUAUGAGAGUGUACUGUUACCAGUUGCUGGUGUUUCUUUUACACUGGGUAACGAUUUGGCAGGGAGUAAAGUACUUUCCCUUCCUGAAGUGACCCGUUCACUACAAGUGAAGGUGUCCUUACCCAGCAGUAUCCCUAGUGUUCCCUACUUGUUCUUCAUGUGAACAGCUUGAACUUGAACUAGGUGUGCGGUUACGCCUGAUGGGAAGCUCUGGUACGUUAUGUUAGGUGAUGACUGUUGACUUCAUCUGUCACUGCUCAUUACUAUAUACUAAAAUUCUUGCAUGUUUGUACAUUUCUACCUUUUUAUUUCAUAUUUUUCAUGAUUGUAUUUUUGUCUGUACUUUAUUCCUUUGUAUGUUGCGGCCAGUCCUUCGGUGCUUGGCCCCCUAAUAACAAUAAUACAUUCUCUUAAAAGAUGUUUUAGUAAAUGUAUUUUUAUUUGGA